rnacentral:rRNA from 1 species
AUCAGUGAAACUGAUCUCCCCGUGAAGAAGCGGGGAUACAAAUAUAAGACGAGAAGACCCCAUGGAGCUUUAAACCCAACAGCACCCGUUUAUUUUCAUCCUCACAUAAGUUAGGUUAUGCCUGUUUGGUUUUAGGUUGGGGUGACCACGGAGUAUAAAACAACCUCCAUGAAAAAAGGACCAAAAAUCCUUAUUAGAGAAAGACAUUUCUAAAAUUAAUAAAUUAAUUUUUAAUGAUCCGAUAUUCGAUCAACGAACCAAGUUACCCUGGGGAUAACAGCGCAAUCCACUUCAAGAGCUCCUAUCGACAAGUGGGUUUACGACCUCGAUGUUGGAUCAGGGUAUCCUAGUGGUGCAGCAGCUACUAACGGUUCGUUUGUUCAACGAUUAAAACCCU